CCUACGGGCGGCAGCAGUAGGGAAUCUUCCACAAUGGGCGAAAGCCUGAUGGAGCAACGCCGCGUGGGUGAAGAAGGUCUUCGGAUCGUAAAACCCUGUUGUUAGAGAAGAAAGUGCGUGAGAGUAACUGUUCACGUUUCGACGGUAUCUAACCAGAAAGCCACGGCUAACUACGUGCCAGCAGCCGCGGUAAUACGUAGGUGGCAAGCGUUAUCCGGAUUUAUUGGGCGUAAAGGGAACGCUGGCGGUCUUUUAAGUUUGAUGUGAAAGCCUUCGGCUUAACCGGAGUAGUGCAUUGGAAACUGGGAGACGUGAGUGCAGAAGAGGAGAGUGGAACUCCAGGUGUAGCGGUGAAAUGCGUAGAUAUAUGGAAGAACACCAGUGGCGAAAGCGGCUCUCUGGUCUGUAACUGACGCUGAGGUUCGAAAGCGUGGGUAGCAAACAGGAUUAGAUACCCUAGUAGUC
rnacentral:rRNA from 1 species